GACGAACGCUGGCGGCGUGCCUAAUACAUGCAAGUAGAACGCACAGUUUAUACCGUAGCUUGCUACACCAUAGACUGUGAGUUGCGAACGGGUGAGUAACGCGUAGGUAACCUGCCUGGUAGCGGGGGAUAACUAUUGGAAACGAUAGCUAAUACCGCAUAAUAUUGAUUAUUGCAUGAUAAUUAAUUGAAAGGUGCAAUUGCACCACUACCAGAUGGACCUGCGUUGUAUUAGCUAGUAGGUGAGGUAACGGCUCACCUAGGCGACGAUACAUAGCCGACCUGAGAGGGUGAUCGGCCACACUGGGACUGAGACACGGCCCAGACUCCUACGGGAGGCAGCAGUAGGGAAUCUUCGGCAAUGGACGAAAGUCUGACCGAGCAACGCCGCGUGAGUGAAGAAGGUUUUCGGAUCGUAAAGCUCUGUUGCAAGAGAAGAACGGGUGUGAGAGUGGAAAGUUCACACUGUGACGGUAGCUUACCAGAAAGGGACGGCUAACUACGUG
rnacentral:rRNA from 1 species